GGGGGUGUGGCUCAGUGGUAGAGCUCUUGCCUGGCAGGCAAGCUCUUGAGUUCCACAGCAACGCCG
rnacentral:tRNA from 1 species